GACGAACGCUGGCGGCGUGCUUAACACAUGCAAGUCGAACGAAGUGGCGAACGGGUGAGUAACGCGUAAUCAACCUGCCCUUAAGAGGGGUACAACAGUUGGAAACAACUGCAAAUACGGAAUACUGACGGUGGGGGUUGCGUAUGAUUAGCUGGUUGGCGGGGUAAAGGCCCACCAAGGCGAUGAUCAGGAGCCGGUCUGAGGGGAUGAACGGCCACAUUGGGAAUGAGACACGGCCCAGACUCCUACGGGAGGCAGCAGUGGGGAAACUUCCGCAAUGGACGAAAGUCUGACGGAGCAACGCCGCGUGAGUGAUGACGGCCUUCGGGUUGUAAAGCUCUGUUAAUCGGGACGCGGUACCGGAAUAGAAAGCCACGGCUAACUACGUGCCAGCAGCCGCGGUAAUAC
rnacentral:rRNA from 1 species